GUAACAUCCGCGUCCUACACACGCUGCCAACGUUCAGAAUCGAGAAGAGGCAUGGCGGCGUCAUCACGUCUACCUACGUCACGUGUACCGUUUUUAAUAAACAGUUUCAGAGAGCGAUGAUUGCUAAUAGCAAAUAGCAAGUUAUAAGGACGGCAUCACAAAGCUGCCGCGUUUGUAAACAACCUACAAAUAUGCACAUGCGAGAAAAGUGUGGACCCAGGUACUUGCUAAAGCUUGGCAAAAUGCAAGAGCAAGACUUGAGAAAAUACGUCCAUCAGUAACCUUCUGUGGAGCCGAAUUACAGAAGAACAGCAGGCUCCCGAAUUGUACUGCACGCACAGCCCCCCCUCACAUAGAAAGCAAAUUAAUUCAUCUUGAAUGAGAGAAACUCCACUCAAAAGUUACGGCAGUGAAAAGGCAAUGCGGUCCCCAGUCAGGACAUCAGGACCUUCCGUGUUCUGCUAGCAACCCCCCUAGGGUGCAGGGUGGCUCUAUGCUGCUGGCUGGGUGUACGUGCCACGCUUGAGAAGUAGAGUGUGUUUCCUCCCGCAGCCCAACACUUCCAGCCGACGCCACCUCACCAAGUGGUUCUUCAGUUUCCUGGGUAAUGAUGUGGCCUUUACAGGAGCCUUUGGCCGGGAUGUUGAGUUCCAAGCAUCCAGGAAACAGGAAGCUGCAUCCUGUCCUGCCUGCCUUGUUUCUCUUUGCCCAGGAAGAGCUUCUGGGCUCCUAUGAUGUGUUUUUCCACACAUCCAUUUGGGAAACAAUUUGGUGGAGCCCUGGGCACUGUCGGUUUGUGUCCCAUUUAUUUAAGGACACUCUCACAUACACUGGUUUCUAAAAGCCAGUAACAUCAUAAUGACAUUCCUUUUAAGACAUAUUGGUUUUUGUAGACCUAGUUAGCUUUCCAUGUUUAUUUACAUGCUCUUGUUUCACAGGCCGUUUUCAUGAUCUUCCUGCAGCCCAUCUUCGUUAUUAGCUGCACGCCGCCUCGCUCGCUCUCUCAGGUGAAGGGUCCUUCAGAAGCCCCUGGCUUUUCUGAGAGGAAGUUUGUUUGGUGAGAUGAGAGCAGAAAGAGAGGGAGUGGAAGAGGAGAGGAAAGAGCAAUGUUCCGAGAGGCGAGGAUGAGGGUACGGGGAGGUACGGGGAAGGAGGCGGCCCCUUUCUUCCCCCACCAUCCCUCACUCUGUCAUCCCCCCAUCUUGCUCUCCUUCUCCCCGAUUUCUCUCUGUUUAUUUCAAAAGGUGCUCUAUGGCAACAUGAGUGCAGGGCGAUGACAUUUCAGUCACAUCUAUGGCACAGUACAUUCUGAACACUGAUUAACACGGCUCCUCCCCCUCACCCUCUCUCUGUCUGUCUCUCUCCUCCUCUCUCCUGCUGUCUCUCUCCUGUCUCCGUCUCUGUCGCUCCCACUGUUCCACCAUCGUUACCUACGUCCAUUACCGUCCACACCAUUGCCGCCCUCUCUGCUUUUUCUCUCAUAUUUAAAAAUGAUUCAUGCAGAGCCGUAUCCCUGGCUAAAACCACAGAAUUUGAAAUGUUUACCUCCCAUUUUUUGUUUUGAUUUCCCCAUUUUUACAUUCCUUUUCACAUUUUACAAACUAGUUGGCAGAUUUUGUGGUUAUGACAAACAGGUACCAUCACCACGGCGAUUGCUCGGUGAGGACCCAACUCCCAGCUUUCUCAGCAGGAAAUACAAUUAUUUGUCAUGAUAACAGAAAUUGUUUUCCAUGUG